rnacentral:rRNA from 1 species
CCUACGGGAGGCAGCAGUGAGGAAUAUUGGUCAAUGGACGAGAGUCUGAACCAGCCAAGUAGCGUGAAGGAUGACUGCCCUAUGGGUUGUAAACUUCUUUUAUAAAGGAAUAAAACGCGGCACGUGUGCCUUUUUGCAUGUACUUUAUGAAUAAGGAUCGGCUAACUCCGUGCCAGCAGCCGCGGUAAUAUGGAGGAUCCGAGCGUUAUCCGGAUUUAGUGGGUUUAAAGGGAGCGUAGAUGGGUUGUUAAGUCAGGUGUGAAAGUUUGCGGCUCAACCGUAAAAUUGCAAUUGAUACUGGCAGUCUUGAGUACAGUUGAGGUAGGCGGAAUUCGUGGUGUAGCGGUGAAAUGCUUAGAUAUCACGAAGAACCCCGAUUGCGAAGGCAGCUUACUAAACUGUGACUGACAUUGAUGCUCGAAAGUGUGGGUAUCAAACAGGAUUAGAUACCCCAGUAGUC